rnacentral:lncRNA from 1 species
UUUCCAUGACUAUAAAUAUCAAUGCUACUUUGACUUUAUAAAUUUUGUCAUGGAUGCUACUUUACUACACCGUAGAAUAUAUAUUUUUUCUCUAAUAAGCCAUGUAAGUAGUAGCAUACAAUAUAUAUCAGCAUUGGUAAUUUUAGACAGUGUAUAAAUCAAAAUGAAAUUUAAUUUAACCAAUAAUGCGAGUAGCUUCA